GCUAAGGAAAGCCAAGACGCCAUUGAACUUUUCUACUCUGUGUUUGUCUCUGUUGGACUAACAGAAUGAGUUGUUCUGCUGUAAACACAUCUAACCAACCAGUGGGAUUUAAGGAUAUCUGCAUUAACUUGCCAGACUGAAACAGGAGGUUGUGAAGGUGGACGCCAUCAUCUUGUCUUUGCAGUGCUGAUUCUGAAGAGAACGCCUUCACAUAGGACUCAAAGGAAAUCAAUGCCCAAAGGAAACAGCAGUCCAGACUCUGAUUCCAGCUCCGGUGAGGUUCUGCACACAAAUUGGCUGUCUGAUUCGUUUAAUGGGCUCACUGACUUGAAGAGAGAGGACACUUGGCUUCCAUGUACGAGACACACAAGUCCCAGAUUAAUCACUCUAUCAGGUAAGGAGCUGUCUCACUUUAAAGUGAUAUAAGAA